CUCAGUGUGCUGAGAAUAGAGAUGAACAAGGUGGAAUUUGCCCCUGACCUCAUGAACUUAGGUUUAAAGAGGGAGGAUCGCAGAUCACAAGCAGCCCCAGUGCUGGAGUGGUGCAGAAGCACUUAGUAGGUGUUCAAUCAUGUUUUAGAGUGAAUAAAUGAAGGCUGGUCUUUCAAGGGGUCAUUUGAGCCCAACUUUCCACCCUGUAAGUGUAUUUCCUGCCCCAGCCCUCAAUUUCAGCCUGCUCUGCUCUGGAGGAAGUGCAGUAUUUCCAUGGAAAGUGGGAGUCAGUUGUGAAAUACACUUUCUAAUGCUUUUUAUGGAGGAAGACUCAGCUCUGAGGCUACUGUUGAAGGAAGCAAGGCCAUCCAAACUGUCCUUUGACCUCUCAAUCUUACACUGUUUUACAGCUUGGAAAACCAGACUCUAGCCUUUGGUUUUGUGCCUCUCUCGCCCACUGUACUGUACCUGCCAGUCAGUACCCCAGCCCCAGCCCUGUUUUCUCCAUCUUGGCAUUUGUUCCACACCUGUGCGGCCAAGCUGCCGCGUUAGACGACGCCCCACCAACUUCCGAAGACACCUGGAGAGGUGUUGGGGCUUUGUCUGGGUCCGGGGGAGGAGGGACCCGGGGAGGGGCGUGCUCCGGAGGAAUGUGGGCGGGGCACCUGGAAAGGGGCGCCCGCAGAGCAGUCCGCGUCGCGGAGAGGGGGCGCCCGCUCCGGCCGGGAAGGGACUCGGGCCGCUGGCAGCCCCCGCCCCUUAGCCCGGUCGGAAGGAAGCCGGCUCUGCGGUUCCCUCCUUUCUUCCCCAAAGCUCCGCACCCCUUCCCCUUCCCUCUCCUCCUCCCCAUCUGGUUUCUGACGAAAAAGUGCUGCCGAGAAUUCCCAGAAGGCCCGGACGUGAGGUCACGGCUGCGGUCCCGAGCAGGUUCCGGGAAGAGGCCAGGGCGGGGCGGUCAGCCGGGCGCAGGAGGGCCGGAGGGACACUGAAAAGGCCAGAAUAGGGAGAGUCCGAGCCGCCGGGCCGGGGCUCCAGUCCCGGGGAUGUGGCAGCGGGUCGGAAGGUCAUGGCCCUGCCGCCGCGCACCUGGGGCUUUGUCCUCAGACAGGGACACAGGAUGAAUGAGGAGGGGGCUCGCCUCAGCGCUGUUGGGGCCCAAAGACUGGACCCCUCUAGCUGCCCAUCUGUAGUGAACUGGUUAAAGUACACGCACUCUGUGCCCUGGGGUACCACACCUCGUGGAAGGGGAUGUGGCAGUUGUUUAUUGGCCAAAUGGCCAAGGUGCAUUGUUAGGGGAGCAAAACCGAGGAGCCUCCUCCAGACUCCUCCGUAAACUCCUUAAAACUCCCUUCCUGGCGAUUAAAGAGAUAUACAGGUUUACCCCGCUACCCAAAAAUGGAGAGUUCCUACGAAACUUUCCCAAAGCCAAAAUGACGAGAAGCCAAGAAGCAAUUACUAUUAAUUUAUAUGAAAAAUUUUUUAGUGUUCCCAGACCCGAAAAAUAACCUCUCAGUCUUUUCUGAAAAGUUAGGACACAUCUUGCUAAUGGAUGCACAAAAUAAAUGGAGAUAAAGCCCAGAUGCUCAGGGACAUAGUCCAAAGCUCUGGCAACUUGGCGCUGAGAAGGCUGUGUGGUCCCCAGAAAGGCACGCUGCCUCUGUAAGUGCUGCUGCAAAGCAAACACGGAAAGCUGUUCUCGCUUUUCCACCUUCUUUGGUAAAAAGGAAAAUCCUCUUCGAAUUUCUUUUGGUUGGGGAAAACAGGUACUAACGUAGGUCUUUCGUAAAAGCUAAGUGGUGUGACCUGAAUUUCCGAAAAGCAGCGGGGAGAUGUGUAUUCACUUAAACACAUACUGAGCGCCUGCCAAGCACCAGCACAUUGCAGUGCUGAGGAGAUAGCAGUGGACACAACAGACAGAGGCCCUGAUCUGUGCAGCUGUAGGCGGGGUGCCAGAUGAAAUGCCUCCGGUGUGGACAAGUGCUCUGAAGGAAAAGGGGAGAGCCAGGCAUCAAGAAAAUGAUGGAGGUCAUACUAAGAUACUUCAGGUGGGGUGUUCAGGGGAGGCCCUUAGACAAGCUGCCAUCUGAACAGAGAAUGAAGUGACAGAGUUGCAUAUAUCCGUCAGGGAGGGCCAGUGUGGCUGAAGCAGAACGGGCAAUAGGCAGAGUGGUAGCAGGUGUGAGGCCAGGUCGGGAAGAUGAGGGAGCAGGAGCAGGGUCGUGUAGGCCUGUAGGGGCUCUGGUUUUUAUAGUGAGAUGGGGUGGGAAGCCAGUGGAGGGUCUUGAACAAAGAAGAGACAUGAUCUGACUUAGGCUUUAAUAGAUCAUCUGGCUGCUGGACCAGACAACAGAGGCUCCAGGGAGGAGCCUGUUGCAAUAAUCCAGGCAAGUCACAGUGGUGGCUGGGCCAGGGUGGUAGAGGUGUAAAGCAUGAUGUGCUUCUGGAUAUAUUUUGAAAGGAGAGCUGAGAGAAUUUGCUGCUAAACCAGAUGUGACUGGAGAGAAAGGACUUGAGAGUGUAACCGCAAGCGUGGAGCUACCAUUUACCAGGGGUGGGAAGAUGGGGAGCAGUGGGAUGUGUAGGGAGUAGGGCAAGGAACCAGUAGUCCGAGCUGCUGGUUCGGGGGUGAUAGAAACAGGAGAAUUGUUUGGAAUUUGUAGCAGAGAAACAGCUAGCACAAUGGGAUUGAGAAAUUGGAGGAAGGUUUAAUAAAAGGAUUGUUGUGACAGAAGUAUAGCGAGUGUAGAGAAACCUCAAGGGCAAAGUAGGCACCCAGGGCUAGUGGAUGGAUACUGAAUGAUCCAGGUGAAAGGAGGGAGCUGCUGGCAGCUGGGGGCAGAGAGAACUAAGUUGGGAGAACCAUAUCCAGGCUUCAGUGAUAUCAUCCAAGGAAGGGGAUUUAUUUUUGAUACACAAGUUUGGAUGUUGCCAAAUAGCCAGAACUGAGGCCUUUGGUAGAGGAGAGGCCUGUCCAUGGCAGGCCUGCAGGGAAAGCAAGCGACCUGAGCUCCCUCUGAACUCAUGCCUGCGUUGGCCAGCAUUCAAGUCACAUGGAAAGUCAGAGGACAAGGGAGCCCAGUGAGGUGGCUCAUGUAGGUCAGUCUCAGACUACCCUCAGACAGAGCUGGAGGGGCUAGAGAGCAGGUGUGGAGGAAUGGAAGAGUAGAAGAGGCCCGGCUCGAGGCAGUGUGAAGGUAAUAGCAAAGCCCUGGCUGGAGACAGGCUGCUUAGGGCCAAGCACAGUAGAAAAGGGGCAAAGUUCGCUGCCCUGGUGCCUCUGGUAUUUAGAGAUUGUGAGAUAGCAGAGCACCAGGAAAGGAUCCUCCACAGAG